UACGAAGGGGGCUAGCGUUGUUCGGAAUUACUGGGCGUAAAGGGCGCGUAGGCUGUGCUGUAAGUCAGGUGUGAAAGCCCUGGGCUUAACCUAGGAAUUGCGCUUGAGACUGGGUAGCUUUGAGUGUGGCAGAGGGAGGUGGAAUUCCACGUGUAGCAGUGAAAUGCGUAGAGAUGUGGAGGAACACCGAUGGCGAAGGCAGCCUCCUGGGCCAGCACUGACGCUCAUGCACGAAAGCGUGGGGAGCAAACAGG
rnacentral:rRNA from 1 species